rnacentral:rRNA from 1 species
CCUACGGGAGGCAGCAGUGAGGAAUCUUCCACAAUGGGCGAAAGCCUGAUGGAGCAACGCCGCGUGCAGGAUGAAGGCCUUCGGGUUGUAAACUGCUUUUAUAAGUGAGGAAUAUGACGGUAACUUAUGAAUAAGGAUCGGCUAACUACGUGCCAGCAGCCGCGGUCAUACGUAGGAUCCGAGCGUUAUCCGGAGUGACUGGGCGUAAAGAGUUGCGUAGGUGGUUAUAUAAGUGAAUAGUGAAAGCCGGCGGCUCACCGUACGGACUAUUAUUCAAACUGUAUAACUCGAGAAUUGUAGAGGUAACUGGAAUUUCUUGUGUAGGAGUGAAAUCCGUAGAUAUAAGAAGGAACCCAAUGGCGUAGGCAGGUUACUGGACCAUUUCUGACACUAAGGCACGAAAGCGUGGGGAGCGAACCGGAUUAGAUACCCGGGUAGUCCACGCGUAAACGAUGGAUACUAGCUGUUGGAGGUAUCGACCCCUUCAGUAGCGAAGCUAACGCGUUAAGUAUCCCGCCUGUGGAGUACGGUCGCAAGAGUAAAACUUAAAGGAAUUGACGG